rnacentral:lncRNA from 7 species
CAAUCUUGCUUUCUCCCAUUGAGCAGCAGCAAAAUGUCUUUUAUCAUUUGAGGCAUUAAAUAACUCCAGGGAAAGAGAGCUCCAUGGAAAGAACACCACCCUGCCCUCCUACUAUUCACUAGAAUGGGACUGCAACCUCUCCUUGGUUCUGCUUCAGUGUCCACCAGUUAGCCUUGAAGUGGAUAUGAUAAGCUCCAUCACUGACGCGUGGUGCUGAUACUUUCUGGUUGAAAUUCACUCUUCUACUUCCAGAGGAUGACAGCUGUUUGUGUCCUUUAUUCCCACUGCCUGGCAUAGAGCUUUGCCUUUAUUUCAGGGCUGCUUACAUUUGGUUUACGCGGCUUCUCAGAAGGUGUUAGUAAGAUGCUUUUUCCCUUUUCCUAACUUCUGAAACCGAUUAGCUCAGAAAAAUUAUGUAAGGUGUGUUGUGACUCCCUUACUAUGGAUUCAAGUAUUUAAGAUGUGUAGUAUUUCAUUUGGACUGUGCCAUCCACAGCCUCAGGGUAAUCAGGAAUAAAACAUAGCAUCACUGGCUCUCUGGCAUGUUUCCCCUGAAUAUGUUGUAGAUUUCACACUUGAGUACCUUAUCUCCAGCAGCACUGUUUGCGGCCGGACAGAGUUCUGCGAGCAGCACUGAAUGCUGCGAGAUCUGCUCUAUUCAAGAUUUCUUAUGGAUUUUGCACCACAUUAAUGAACUUUUAUGAUACACUAUUGUGACAAUCUUUCUAACAAAAAAAAACCCAUCACUGAGCUAUUCCUUGUCCAUAAUCUCAAAGCCUUUUGUGUACUUGGUCGUGCUUAGGCUAUUCUUUUGUUAGCCUCUGCCAGUGAUGGCUCUCUCCAGCUCCUGUGUAGUUGGCUCAUUUUACAUUUCUUGUUUGAACUUGUCAGAUUUUGUGUCAGUAAUAGGUAGCACUUAAAUCACAUUUACUUCAAACUCUUCUUCCCGCAGCUUCUUCCUUUCACUGUUUAUCAGUACUCUUGAAAGCAUGUCUAUUAUAAGAAGCUCUUUACUGGGCCAGUAUUUCAGCCUAAUGAGAAUUCUUGCAAUUUCGUGAUCAUUUUUUGGAAGUCUAUGUAGUACUUUGCACAAAGACUUCUGUAAUACGUCUUUUGGAGGUUUACAGCCUUCCUCUCCUCUAACCUAUUUCUCCCCAUAAACAUAUUUAUGAAACAAUUGCUGGCAUCUAUUUUUCCAGUC